UACAGAGGUCUCAAGCGUUGUUCGGAUUCAUUGGGCGUAAAGGGUGCGUAGGCGGCGCGGUAAGUCGGGUGUGAAAUCUUGGAGCUUAACUCCGAAACUGCAUUCGAUACUGCCGUGCUUGAGGACUGGAGAGGAGACUGGAAUUUACGGUGUAGCGGUGAAAUGCGUAGAUAUCGUAAGGAAGACCAGUGGCGAAGGCGGGUCUCUGGACAGUUCCUGACGUGAGGCACGAAGGCCCAGGGGAGCAAACGGGAUUAGAAACCCCCAGGU
rnacentral:rRNA from 1 species